rnacentral:rRNA from 1 species
CCUACGGGGGGCAGCAGUGGGGAAUAUUGCACAAUGGGCGCAAGCCUGAUGCAGCCAUGCCGCGUGUGUGAAGAAGGCCUUCGGGUUGUAAAGCACUUUCAGCGGGGAGGAAGGCGGUGAGGUUAAUAACCUCAUCGAUUGACGUUACCCGCAGAAGAAGCACCGGCUAACUCCGUGCCAGCAGCCGCGGUAAUACGGAGGGUGCAAGCGUUAAUCGGAAUUACUGGGCGUAAAGCGCACGCAGGCGGUCUGUCAAGUCGGAUGUGAAAUCCCCGGGCUCAACCUGGGAACUGCAUUCGAAACUGGCAGGCUAGAGUCUUGUAGAGGGGGGUAGAAUUCCAGGGGUAGCGGUGAAAUGCGUAGAGAUCUGGAGGAAUACCGGUGGCGAAGGCGGCCCCCUGGACAAAGACUGACGCUCAGGUGCGAAAGCGUGGGGAGCAAACAGGAUUAGAUACCCGGGUAGUC